rnacentral:lncRNA from 1 species
GCUGUUUGGCGCUGGCAUUUGAGCCACUGCUCAGGUGCGGUCGCGUCGGGUCUGAUGUGUGCCGAGAAGGUGGGGCGCUGGCGGAGCCGAGUCACUAAGCUUUAGCGGGCCGGGGCCACAGGCAAGGCUGAUGGGCUAGGGGAAAGGCUGCGUGUGAGACGGGGUGACGGCGGGGACCAGCCCGGGCAGGGACCGGGACUGGGGAUCCCUGAGCAGCCGGCUGGCCCGGCUGGAGGGAGUAGCUUAAGGUUGCAUUUCCAUCUCAAGAAAUCAGAGCGGGGAAGGCCACCCUGCGGGGAAGAGGAUAAGUGGAAGUGUCCGGAAGCGAGAAACUAGCUGCAGGCGUUAGUCUGGGGAAACGGAAGAGUC